rnacentral:tRNA from 1 species
AGGAUAAUAGUUUAAAUAAAACAUUUAACUUGCACUUAAAAAAUUUUGGAUUAAUCAACUUAUCUU